GACGAACGCUGGCGGCGUGCUUAACACAUGCAAGUCGAACGGAGUGGCGAACGGGUGAGUAACCCGUGGGUGGUCUGCCUUGCACUUCGGGGUAAGCUUGGGUAACUGGGUCUAAUACCGGAUCUUGCUAGAUGGGCUCGGGGCCUAUUAGCUUGUUGGUGGGGUACUGGCCUACCAAGGCGUCGACGGGUAGCCGGCCUGCGAGGGUGUACGGCAACAUUGGGACUGAGAUAGGGCCCAGACUCCGACGGGAGGCAGCAGUGGGGAAUAUGGCACAAUGGGCGGAAGCCUGAUGCAGCGACGCCGCGUGGGGGAUGAAGGCUUUCGGGUUGUAAACGCCUUUCGACAGGGACGCGGUACCUGUAGAAGAAGCACCGGCUAACUACGUGCCAGCAGCCGCGGUAAUUC
rnacentral:rRNA from 1 species